GUAGAGUAGCCUUGUUGCUACGAUCCACUGAGGUUAAGCCCUUGUUC
rnacentral:rRNA from 1 species